GACGAACGCUGGCGGCGUGCUUAACACAUGCAAGUCGAACGGAAAGGCCCUGCUUUUGUGGGGUGCUCGAGUGGCGAACGGGUGAGUAACACGUGAGUAACCUGCCCUUGACUUUGGGAUAACUUCAGGAAACUGGGGCUAAUACCGGAUAGGAGCUCCUGCUGCAUGGUGGGGGUUGGAAAGUUUCGGCGGUUGGGGAUGGACUCGCGGCUUAUCAGCUUGUUGGUGAGGUAGUGGAUUACCAAGGCUUUGACGGGUAGCCCGCCUGAGAGGGUGACCGGCCACCUUGGGACUGCGAUACGGACCAGAAUCCUACGGGCGGCAGCAGUGGGGAAUAUUGCACAAUGGGCGGAAGCCUGAUGCAGCAACGCCGGGUGCGGGAUGACGGCCUUCGGGUUGUAAACCGCUUUCGCCUGUGACGAAGCGUGAGUGACGGUAAUGGGUAAAGAAGCACCGGCUAACUACGUG
rnacentral:rRNA from 1 species